rnacentral:rRNA from 1 species
GAUGAACGCUGGCGGCGUGCCUAAUACAUGCAAGUCGAGCGAACGGACGAGAAGCUUGCUUCUCUGAUGUUAGCGGCGGACGGGUGAGUAACACGUGGAUAACCUACCUAUAAGACUGGGAUAACUUCGGGAAACCGGAGCUAAUACCGGAUGAUAUUUUGAACCGCAUGGUUCAAAAGUGAAAGACGGUCUUGCUGUCACUUAUAGAUGGAUCCGCGCUGCAUUAGCUAGUUGGUAAGGUAACGGCUUACCAAGGCAACGAUGCAUAGCCGACCUGAGAGGGUGGUCGGCCACACUGGAACUGGAACACGGUCCAGGCUCCUACGGGAGGCAGCAGUAGGGAAUCUUCCGCAAUGGGCGGAAACCUUGCGGAGCAACGCCGCGUGAGUGAUGGAGGUCUUCGGAUCGUAAAACUCUGUUAUUAGGGAAGAACAUAUGUGUAAGUAACUGAGCACAUCUUGACGGUACCUAAUCAGAAAGCCACGGCUAACUACGUG